rnacentral:rRNA from 1 species
ACAUAAUUAGUAAAGCAUAAUAAUAUAAUUUAUUAAUAUUAAUAAUUCAACUAAUCCACAAAUUUAAAAACAUUAUUUUAUAAAAACAUUAAUAAAAGAAAUUAAUCACAUAAUAAACCAAUCCUUUAGUGCCAGCAGUUGCGGUUAAACUUUAUAUUUAAUUAUAUUAAAACAAAUUGAAAAUUAAACAUUUAUAAAAAAAAUAAAUUACUGGUAAAAUAAAAUUCAUUAAAAAUAAAAAUUUCAAAUCAAUUAAAAUUUAAAAUCUAAAAUAGGAUUAGAUACCCUAAUAUAUUUAAACAAAAUAAGUAAUAAAAAAUUUUUAAAAAAACUAAUUUAGUUUGGCGGCAUUUCAUCUGAUUAGAGGAAUUUGUCCAUUAAUCGAUAAUCCCCGCUAAAUUUAACUUAAGUCUAAAAUUUAUAUACCGCCAUCUCAAGAAUUAAUUUAAAAAUAUUCCUCCAAAUAAUAUAUAAAAAGUUAGGUCAAGGUGUAGUUAAUACCUAAGGAUGAGAUGAAUUACAUUAAAUAAUAUUUAAGGAUUUUCAAUCAAAAUUAAACAUAAAAAAGGAUUUAAAAGUAAUUUUAAAAUAAAAUUUCAGUAUGAAUUAGAUAAUAAAUGUGCACAUAUCGCCCGUCACCCUUGUUACAACCCAAGGUAAGUCGUAACAUAGUUGAUGUUUUGGAAAAAGCAUCAAG